ACUUCUUGAAGCUUUUCACCAUCAAUGCUGCUAACUGCAUCAUCUCAUCAUCACUUUCUUCAGAGUCUGAGGGAACAUCAGAGUUUGAGUCAUCAGAGUUUGAUGAUUCAAUGUCAGACUUUGUGACAUGAGCUUUUCCCUUGCUCUUAGCAGCUUCCUCUUGAACUUUCAGAGCAACAGACUUUGAUUUUCCUCCAUGUCGUUUGCUUCUCUGUUCCAUCUCAAGUUCAUGAGUCUUCAGUCUUCCAUAAACAUCAUCAAGAGACAUUUCUCCAAGAUCAAGAUUGUCUCUUAUUGUAGUGACUUUCAAAUCCCAUUUUUCAGGAAGAGCUAGAAGGAAUUUGAGGUUUGAGUCUUCAAGAUCAUAUUCCUUGUCCACCAGAGAUAAGUCAUUCAGCAGUUUGACAAAUCUGUCAUACAGAUCUGUCAGGGACUCACCAGAUUUUGAGUCAAAGUGCUCAUACUCCUGUGUAAGGAUUG
rnacentral:lncRNA from 1 species